GAUGAAGAACGUAGCGAAAUGCGAUAAGUAAUGUGAAUUGCAGAAUUCAGUGAAUCAUCGAAUCUUUGAACGCACAUUGCGCCCGCCAGUAUUCUGGCGGGCAUGCCUGUUCGAGCGUCAUUUCAACCAUCAAGCCCCAGGCUUGUGUUGGGGACCUGCGGCUGCCGCAGGCCCUGAAAACCAGUGGCGGGCUCGCUGUCACACCGGGCGUAGUAGAUUUUAUCUCGCUCUGGGCGUGCUGCGGGUUCCGGCCGUGAAGCCCCCCAAUUUUCAAGGUUGACCUCGGAUCAGGUAGGAAUACCCGCUGAACUUAAGCAUAUCAAUAAGCGGAGGA
rnacentral:misc_RNA from 1 species